rnacentral:rRNA from 1 species
GACGAACGCUGGCGGCGCGCUUAACACAUGCAAGUCGAACGGAAAGGCCUGCUUUCCCUUGUGGAUUGCGGGUACUCGAGUGGCGAACGGGUGAGUAACACGUGAGUGAUCUGCCCCCAACUUGGGUAUAAGCCUGGGAAACUGGGUCUAAUUCCCGAUAGGACUGCAGGGUGGUGCCUGUGGUGGAAAACGAUUUUCUAGUGGUUGGGGAUGAGCUCGCGGCCUAUCAGCUUGUUGGUGGGGUAAUGGCCUACCAAGGCGGCGACGGGUAGCCGGCCUGGGAGGGUGGACGGCCACAUUGGGACUGAGAUACGGCCCAGACUCCUACGGGAGGCAGCAGGGGGGAAUAUUGGACAAUGGGCGGAAGCCUGAGGCAGCGACGCCGCGUGGGGGAUGACGGCCUUCGGGUUGUAAACUCCUUUCGACCGCGAGGAAGCCACCUGGUUGGAAGGGUGGUGACGGUAGUGGUAGAAGAAGCACCGGCUAACUACGUG